rnacentral:rRNA from 1 species
GCAUAUCAAUAAGCGGAGGAAAAGAAACUAACAAGGAUUCCCCUAGUAACUGCGAGUGAAGCGGGAAAAGCUCAAAUUUAAAAUCUGGCAGUCUUUGGCUGUCCGAGUUGUAGUCUGGAGAAGUGCUUUCCGCGCUGGACCGUGUACAAGUCUCUUGGAAUAGAGCGUCAUAGAGGGUGAGAAUCCCGUCUUUGACACGGACUACCAGUGCUUUGUGAUGCGCUCUCAAAGAGUCGAGUUGUUUGGGAAUGCAGCUCAAAAUGGGUGGUAAAUUCCAUCUAAAGCUAAAUAUUGGCGAGAGACCGAUAGCGAACAAGUACCGUGAGGGAAAGAUGAAAAGCACUUUGGAAAGAGAGUUAAACAGUACGUGAAAUUGCUGAAAGGGAAACGCUUGAAGUCAGUCACGUUGGUCAGAACUCAGCCUGGCUUUUUUUGCUUGGUGCAUUUUCUGAUUAACGGGCCAGCAUCAAUUUUGACCAUUGGAAAAAUUCUUUGGGAAUGUGGCUCCUCCGGGAGUGUUAUAGCCCAGGGUUGUAUACAGUGGUUGGGAUUGAGGAACUCAGCACGCCUUCAUGGUCGGGGUUCGCCCACGCUCGUGCUUAGGAUGCUGGCGUAAUGGCUUUAAACGACCCGUCUUGAAACACGGACCAAGGAGUCUAACAUGCCUGCGAGUGUUUGGGUGGAAAACCCGAGCGCGCAAUGAAAGUGAAAGUUGGGAUCUCUGUCGUGGAGAGCACCGACGCCCAUACCAGACCUUCUGUGACGGAUAUGCGGUUGAGCAUGUAUGUUGGGACCCGAAAGAUGGUGAACUAUGCCUGAAUAGGGUGAAGCCAGAGGAAACUCUGGUGGAGGCUCGUAGCGAUUCUGACGUGCAAAYCSAUCGUCAAAUUYSGGUAUAGGGGCGAAAGACUAAUCGAACCAUCUAGUAGCUGGUUCCUGCCGA